rnacentral:rRNA from 1 species
AUGGACGACGGCGAUGAGCUGGACGACUACGCGGGGAAGGUCAGCGGCAUGGCGGCGAGGUACGUGAUGCUCGAGUCGACGCUCGACGACAGCGCCAUGGUGAAAAAGUUGCUCGACACCGUGCCGGACAUCCUUUACGCCGCGGUGGCCGGAAUCGAGCAAUUCUGCAACAUGGAGGAGAUGGCGUUCGAGGAGGCGCUUGGGCGGCUCAAGGCGUUCGAGGAGAGGACUCGGCGGCGCGCACGAGCCGGCGGCGAGCGCGCGCAUGGGCAGCUGAUGAUGACAACGGCACAGUGGGCGGCUCGGGAGUGA